rnacentral:lncRNA from 1 species
UAAACUCAGGGCAUGAGAUUAUGCUUGGAUCUAGUUUCACUUCAUCCACAUUUGGUGCUUUCUAGUUUAAGUCUGGAGUGGGUCAUCUGACUUCGCAGGCAGGAGAACAGCUGUGCAGGAGAAUGUUUUGAUAUAUGACUUCUGUUCUUCCAGGUAGUGUGGAGGAAAUGGAUUCAAACAAACUCGUUUGAAGAAUAUAAGCCAAGCACAGCCAUGGGAUCAAACGUAGAAAUGGAGUGCAAGUUCAUCUACUGUUAGUCACCAUUUUUGAGGAAACAGCAAGAACAAACAAGCUGUCCAACAGCAGCUUUUGGUAAUCACCAUUUUCCAGAUUUCAAGCACAAUCUAUACUUCUUCAUCUGGAGUUUCAGAAAACCGGAAUCACACAAGUGUAAGAAUUCUGACAAAGCUGUAGUUCAGCAUUUUGGCAAGUGCAACGAAAAGAACUGUGUAUAU